CUGCUCUCUCCUUUGCUCUGUGUAGUCGGCAUUGCUGAGACAAGAGGGGGACAGAAGUACGAGAAGAGAGAGGUGCACUCGCCGCAAAGAUGUUUUUCUUAGUCGCUCCAACAGACAGGAAUCUACUGGCAAGAAGAAAGGCUCGGUCUUCCCCAGGAGAGAGGAGUAUAAAGCCCCCAGUCUGCACACAACAGAUGCCGAAAGCUAGUCCAUCUGCCACCAGCUUGCAGUGCCACAUGGGCCAGAGAGAUUUAAUACAAGAGAGGACUUUUAUUUAUUCCUUUGCCUACGUAUUUGUUCCCCACGUCUCUUCUUCCAGUGCUUUCUGCUGCCAAGGUCAACAGAGACAAACAGGCCCACCAGCGUCUUGAUGUGGUGGCAGCAGAACAGUGAGAGGGGAAAGAGGGAGAAA